ensembl:snoRNA
UUGGCCCUGAGUCAAGGCUGACAGCUUCCUGAUGCUGCUGAUUUCAAGCAGGAGCCUAAAGAGAUGUCUUUCUAUGGUCUGUUGGCCAUUUCAGAACUUGGGCAGUGAAAUGGUCAAUUCAUUAAAAGAAACAGCU